rnacentral:rRNA from 1 species
UUCGGCCUACGGGACGUAGCAGUGGGGAAUAUUGCGCAAUGGGCGAAAGCCUGACGCAGCGACGCCGCGUGAGGGAUGAAGGUCUUCGGAUCGUAAACCUCUGUCAGCAGGGAAGAACGGUCACUGUGCUAAUCAGCAGUGAAUUGACGGUACCUGCAAAGGAAGCACCGGCUAACUCCGUGCCAGCAGCCGCGGUAAUACGGAGGGUGCGAGCGUUAAUCGGAAUUACUGGGCGUAAAGCGCUCGUAGGUGGUAUGUCAAGUCAAGGGUGAAAUCCCCGCGCUCAACGUGGGAGCUGCCAUUGA